rnacentral:lncRNA from 1 species
AGUAUAUAUUAAAAAAUAUAAAAUGUAUAUUAGAAAUUCAUCGUGUAUUUAUUACCUAGAAAUAUACCACACAUGUGAAUAAAUCUGAUAUUCUAAAAACCAUAUAUUAAUUUAUUUAGAAGCAUAUGUGAGUUAUUAAAUAAUUAAUUUAUUAGAUGUGUAUCAUUUAUUCAUAUACUAUAUAAUGAUGAAUACAAUCUACAGCCA